rnacentral:tRNA from 1 species
CUGUAGCUCAAUUGGAUAGAGCAUCUGACUACGGAUCAGAAGGUUGCAGGUUCGACUCCUGCCAG